AUCCUUUGGUUUGUGAGCGUGAUGAUUGGGUGUUCCUGCUUUAUACAUGAGAUGUGCCUCCCUCAAACUUUGUUACUACAUGGGCACAUUACCCAUCUGGCG